GGGGAAAGCUGAAGCACUGCAGAUCCUCUUGGAUGCCGGUGCCGACAUCCACAAAACCAAUAAGGAUGGCAGG
rnacentral:snRNA from 15 species